rnacentral:lncRNA from 1 species
UAGAAGUGCGGCACAUGCCUUCUAAAGAAGCCAGGCAUGGAACAGUUCUGGGAACACAGCACUGAUAAAAUUCUUACAGAUGAAUUUACCUAUACCUGUGUUUCAGCCUUGUGAUCUG